CCUACGGGUGGCAGCAGUGAGGAAUAUUGGUCAAUGGACGAGAGUCCGAACCAGCCAAGUAGCGUGAACGAUGACUGCCCUAUGGGUUGUAAACUUCUUUUAUAAAGGAAUAAAACGAGGCACGUGUGCCUUUUUGCAUGUACUUUAUGAAUAAGGAUCGGCUAACUCCCUGCCAGCCGCCGCGGUAAUACGGAGGAUCCGAGCGUUAUCCGGAUUUAUUGGGUUUAAAGGGAGCGUAGAUGGGUUGUUAAGUCAGUUGUGAAAGUGUGCGGAUCAACCGUAAAAUUGCAAUUGAUACUGGCAGUCAUGAGGACAGUUGAGGUAGGCGGAAUGCGUGGUGUAGCGGUGAAAUGCUUAGAUAUCACGAAGAACCCCGAUUGCGAAGGCAGCUUACUAAACUGUGACUGACAUUGAUGCUCGAAAGUGUGGGUAUCAAACAGGAUUAGAUACCCUAGUAGUC
rnacentral:rRNA from 1 species